rnacentral:rRNA from 1 species
UAACGCGUAAAGAACUUGCCCCACAGCUAGGGACAACAUUUAGAAAUGAAUGCUAAUACCUGAUAUUAUGAUUUUAAGGCAUCUUAGAAUUAUGAAAGCUAUAAGCACUGUGAGAGAGCUUUGCGUCCCAUUAGCUAGUUGGAGAGGUAACAGCUCACCAAGGCGAUGAUGGGUAGCCGGCCUGAGAGGGUGAACGGCCACAAGGGGACUGAGACACGGCCCUU